UUGAACACAAUCUAAUCUGAAUGGGAUUUUAUAGCAUAAUUCACUGGGUGACCUCAAUCCUCUGUACUGAUCCAAGUUCAGUUCAGUACUAUUAAACUCUGGAAGACCUACAGACUACUAAGCACAUCCACUGCUAAGCUAAAUCAUGCAAAUUCCAUCUGAUGGGCCUCUGUUUGCCAGAACUGAGUCGUUCUGCAACCAUGGCAACCUCAUGUUGCUUGGGCAGAGCCAAGACCAUAGCCAUGGCAACGUCUGAGAAGACCGACAGCUUGUCUCUGAAGCGCAAGCCUCAUCGGCCCGAUGAUGCCAACACAAAGUGGCUGUCGGAAUUUAAACCCGAAUUCGAUGCCAGCGCUGGACUGAACGCAUGGUCAGAGGGGAAAGAGGAGCUAACGCAUGCUAAUAACAUCAACUGACCUAACUGGGGAGAGAGAGAGAGAGCGCGAGAGAGAGGGCUGAUGUUGGAGCAAAGAGUAAAUUUGAAGUCCUCGUCUCCUACCUGUGGUCAAUUUGAGCUGGAGCCACAGGCGUGUGAUGUCCUGGCAGAGCAGGGACACUCGGUUAAGCGCCAUCCUGCCUGCACUGCACACUCCGUGGCUCACUCCUUACUCAGGUGGCCCUCUGUGUGGAACUCUGGUCGGCCGGCAUACACAACACCAUACCAGUGACGACAGACGAUCCGUCUGUGCACUUCACCAAACCCCAUGUCUCAGUCACACGUGCCUGGACCGACUACCAUGCCGGCUUCAGUAAUUGUCACAUGGAAAGAAUUCAAAAAGGGAAGGAGGGACCAAGAGAGCAAGAGAGAAGAGGCGGGGCAAGAGGGCAAAUCCUGCUGCAUGUCACUUCCCUCCUUCCAGCUGGGUUAAUAAUAAUAAUAAUAA